UACGAAGGGGGCUAGCGUUGUUCGGAAUCACUGGGCUUACAGGGUGCGUAGGCGGCUCAACAAGUCAGGUGUGAAAGCCCCCGGCUCAACCGGGGAACUGCGCUUGAAACUGUUAGGCUCGAGUCAGCUAGAGGUACACGGAACUUCCAGUGGAGCGGUGAAAUGUGUUGAUAUUGGAAGGAACACCGGAGGCGAAAGCGGUGUACUGGGGCUGGUCUGACGCUGAGGCACGAAAGCCAGGGGAGCGAACGGG
rnacentral:rRNA from 1 species